rnacentral:lncRNA from 1 species
UGGAGGAAGCAGCCACGGGCGAGAGUGGCUGCAGCUGGAGUGAGCGAGCGCGACGAGCCACCGGAAACGGAGCUGCGGCCGCGCCCCGCCCCCAGCUCCCCGCACGCUGCCCCUCCCGCUCGUCUGUCCCGCUGGCGGCCCAGCGUGCUGGCUGUACGCGUCACUUCCGGCUGUGUCGGCGCGCGAAAAAAGGAACCAAAGAGAAGUGAAGGAAUGUGUCCAAGGGCUCCCAAGUUGGCGGUGGAAUUAGAAUUGAAGCCUCAGCUCCAAAGCCUGUGUUCUGAACUACCCGGUUGCAGUUCACAAAAUACACUUUGGCAGUACUUUCAUAACGAAAACAAAUGAUUACAACCAGUUUACAAAUGCUUUGCUUUACUGGAGGAUCGACAUGUUUGACUAAUUUUCAAAAAUAAAUCUCAGAAGCAGCA